rnacentral:rRNA from 1 species
UGCUGGAGGUAUCAGAAGUGCGAAUGCUGACAUAAGUAACGAUAAAGCGGGUGAAAAGCCCGCUCGCCGGAAGACCAAGGGUUCCUGUCCAACGUUAAUCGGGGCAGGGUGAGUCGACCCCUAAGGCGAGGCCGAAAGGCGUAGUCGAUGGGAAACAGGUUAAUAUUCCUGUACUUGGUGUUACUGCGAAGGGGGGACGGAGAAGGCUAUGUUGGCCGGGCGACGGUUGUCCCGGUUUAAGCGUGUAGGCUGAUUUUCCAGGCAAAUCCGGAAAAUCAAGGCUGAGGCGUGAUGACGAGGCACUACGGUGCUGAAGCAACAAAUGCCCUGCUUCCAGGAAAAGCCUCUAAGCAUCAGGUAACAUCAAAUCGUACCCCAAACCGACACAGGUGGUCAGGUAGAGAAUACCAAGGCGCUUGAGAGAACUCGGGUGAAGGAACUAGGCAAAAUGGUGCCGUAACUUCGGGAGAAGGCACGCUGAUAUGUAGGUGAAGCGACUUGCUCGUGGAGCUGAAAUCAGUCGAAGAUACCAGCUGGCUGCAACUGUUUAUUAAAAACACAGCACUGUGCAAACACGAAAGUGGACGUAUACGGUGUGACGCCUGCCCGGUGCCGGAAGGUUAAUUGAUGGGGUUAGCGGUAACGCGAAGCUCUUGAUCGAAGCCCCGGUAAACGGCGGCCGUAACUAUAACGGUCCUAAGGUAGCGAAAUUCCUUGUCGGGUAAGUUCCGACCUGCACGAAUGGCGUAAUGAUGGCCAGGCUGUCUCCACCCGAGACUCAGUGAAAUUGAACUCGCUGUGAAGAUGCAGUGUACCCGCGGCAAGACGGAAAGACCCCGUGAACCUUUACUAUAGCUUGACACUGAACAUUGAGCCUUGAUGUGUAGGAUAGGUGGGAGGCUUUGAAGUGUGGACGCCAGUCUGCAUGGAGCCGACCUUGAAAUACCACCCUUUAAUGUUUGAUGUUCUAACGUUGGCCCGUUAUCCGGGUUGCGGACAGUGUCUGGUGGGUAGUUUGACUGGGGCGGUCUCCUCCUAAAGAGUAACGGAGGAGCACGAAGGUUGGCUAAUCCUGGUCGGACAUCAGGAGGUUAGUGCAAUGGCAUAAGCCAGCUUGACUGCGAGCGUGACGGCGCGAGCAGGUGCGAAAGCAGGUCAUAGUGAUCCGGUGGUUCUGAAUGGAAGGGCCAUCGCUCAACGGAUAAAAGGUACUCCGGGGAUAACAGGCUGAUACCGCCCAAGAGUUCAUAUCGACGGCGGUGUUUGGCACCUCGAUGUCGGCUCAUCACAUCCUGGGGCUGAAGUAGGUCCCAAGGGUAUGGCUGUUCGCCAUUUAAAGUGGUACGCGAGCUGGGUUUAGAACGUCGUGAGACAGUUCGGUCCCUAUCUGCCGUGGGCGCUGGAGAACUGAGGGGGGCUGCUCCUAGUACGAGAGGACCGGAGUGGACGCAUCACUGGUGUUCGGGUUGUCAUGCCAAUGGCACUGCCCGGUAGCUAAAUGCGGAAGAGAUAAGUGCUGAAAGCAUCUAAGCACGAAACUUGCCCCGAGAUGAGUUCUCCCUGACUCC